rnacentral:lncRNA from 1 species
CAGCAGCCAUUGAUGUGCAAUGCACUAUACUUCCUAAUUCAGAAUUCUCUAUAUAGCUAUUUUGAAUAUAGAAUUAAUCAUUGUCAACCAUGGUUAUCCUAUGGUGCUAUAGUUAUUCCAGCUGCCUGCCUGUACCCUUUAACUAUCAUCUCUCUAUCCUUCCUUCCUCCACACCCUUUUCAGGCUCUGGUAACCACUAUUCUGCUCUCUACUUUUAUGAUACCAACUUUUUAGCUUCCGCCCAUAAGUGAAAACAGGCAGUACUUGUCUUUCUAUGCCUGACUUAUUUCACUUAACAUAAUAUUCUCCAUUCCACCCAUGUUGCUGCUAAUGACAAAAAUUCAUUUUUAUGACUGAAUAAUAUUCCAUCGUGUAUGUAUACCACAUUUAUAUUUAUUUAUCCAUUUAUCCAUAGGUACCUGCAUUGAUCCCAUUUCUUGGCUACUCUGAGUAGCACUUCAGAAAACAUUCAAGAGCAAAUGUCUCUCCAACAUACUGAUUUGAAUUUCUUUGGAUACAUGCCCAAUGUGGGAUUGCUGAAUUGAGUAAUAAUACUAUUCUAGUUUUUUGAAGAACCUCCAUACUGUUUUUGAUAUGGCUAUACUAUUUUACAUCCCCACCAACAGUGCAUGAGAGUUACCCUUUCUCCACAGCCAUGCCAGCUUUUGUUAUUUUUGUCUUUUUCAUAAUAAUAAUUCUAACUGGGACAAAAUGAUAUCUUAUUGAGAUUUUUUAUUUUCUUUUCCCUGAUGAUUAGUGAUGUGGAGCAUUUUCAUGUAUUCAUUUGCCAUUUGAAUAUCCUCUUUCGAGAAAUGUCUGUUCAGGCCGUUAGCCCAUUUUUCAAUAGGAUUAUUGUUCUUUCACUGUUGAGUUCCUUAUAAAUUUUGGAAAUCAGACUUUCAUCAAAUAAAUAGCUUGCAGAUAUUUCCUGCAUUUGUAGGUUAUCUCUUUACCCUGUUGAUUGUUUCCUUUGCUGUGCAGAAGAUUUUUAGUUUGGUGUAAUCCCAUUUUUUAAUUUUUUCUUUUGUUGCCUGAGCUUUGGGGAUCAUACCAAAAGAGUAUUCACACAGACCAAAUGUCCUGAAGCAUUUCCUCUAUGUUGUCUUCUAACAGUUCCACGGUUUGGGGUUUGUCUCUCUUUUUGUGAUGUCAGCAACCAUUGACGUGCAGUGCACUG